ACUACGGUGCAGAAGAGUUGAUGCCUGCUUCCAGGAAAAUCCUCUAAGCAUCAGGUAACAUUAAAUCGUACCCAAACCGACACAGGUGGUCAGGUAGAGAAUACCAAGGCGCUUGAGAGAACUCGGGUGAAGGAACUAGGCAAAAUGGUGCCGUAACUUCGGGAGAAGGCACGCUGGCAUGUAGGUGAAGUCCCUUGCGGAUGGAGCUGAAGCCAGUCGAAGAUACCAGCUGGCUGCAACUGUUUAAUAAAAACACAGCACUGUGCAAACACGAAAGUGGACGUAUACGGUGUGACGCCUCCCCGGUGCUGGAAGGUUAAUUGAUGGGGUCAGCCGCAAGGCGAAGCUCUUGAUCGAAGCCCCAGUAAACGGCGGCCGUAACUAUAACGGUCCUAAGGUAGCGAAAUUCCUUGUCGGGUAAGUUCCGACCUGCACGAAUGGCGUAAUGAUGGCCAGGCUGUCUCCACCCGAGACUCAGUGAAAUUGAACUCGCUGUGAAGAUGCAGUGUACCCACGGC
rnacentral:rRNA from 1 species